rnacentral:rRNA from 1 species
GAUGAACGCUGGCGGCGUGCCUAAUACAUGCAAGUCGAGCGAACAGACGAGGAGCUUGCUCCUCUGACGUUAGCGGCGGACGGGUGAGUAACACGUGGAUAACCUACCUAUAAGACUGGGAUAACUUCGGGAAACCGGAGCUAAUACCGGAUAAUAUAUUGAACCGCAUGGUUCAAUAGUGAAAGACGGUUUUGCUGUCACUUAUAGAUGGAUCCGCGCCGCAUUAGCUAGUUGGUAAGGUAACGGCUUACCAAGGCAACGAUGCGUAGCCGACCUGAGAGGGUGAUCGGCCACACUGGAACUGAGACACGGUCCAGACUCCUACGAGAGGCAGCAGUAGGGAAUCUUCCGCAAUGGGCGAAAGCCUGAAGGAGCAACGCCGCGUGAGUGAUGAAGGUCUUCGGAUCGUAAAACUCUGUUAUUAGGGAAGAACAAAUGUGUAAGUAACUAUGCACGUCUUGACGGUACCGAAUCAGAAAGCCACGGCUAACUACGUG